rnacentral:lncRNA from 1 species
UCCACAGUUUUUUGUAUCCUGGGUGAUUACUUUCUCAAUAUCUUUAGUUGCUAUUUCUAUUUGCCUUUCUGAAUAAAUAUUACCCUGUGCUUGCUCAUAUUGCCUCCUUCCUAUUUUCAUUUCUCUUCCAAAACUCAGCUUGAUACGUUUGUGAUCACUACCCAAGCUUCUGGAACCAUAUUCAUCUAUGUUCAUCACCCUUAGCCUACCAUACAUCCUAUGUGACAUCAGUGCGUAAUCUAUCGUCGACUGCAGCCUUCCCACCUCCCGUGUUAUCUGCCCUUCGCACUUCUCGGUACUGUUGCAAAUGAUUAAAUCAUGCCUUUCACACAUAUCCAUCAGCAUUCUGCCUGUUGGGUCAGUAUAUCCAUCCAUAUCUUCUAUGUGCGCAUUCAUAUCUCCUAAUAUAAUUAUCUCGCACUCUUAUUCUAACGCCUGGAUGUCCUUUG